CCGCCUGCCUCGCCUGUGGUAAACAGAGUGCCGCCGAGGCGGCGGGCUGCUCUCGUGGCUCCGCGCUCGCUCGGCUGAGGAGCGGCCAGGCCGCGGCGGGAAGCGGGCGAAGGCAGCAGCGAGCAGCGAGGCCGGACGGGGGAGGCCCGCGGCGUCGGUCCCGGAGUUCCGCGGGCGCUUCCCCGCCGGGCGCCCGGCCUGAGGCGCUGAUGUGGCGGCGGCGCUGAGGGAGGCGGCGGGAGAGGCGGCGGCGGCGCCAUCAUGGCGGAACCGGCCGGGAGCCCCCAGGCGGCCGAGUCCUCCUCCUCCUCCUCCUCGCUGGCCGCGCUGGACCCGGAGUUCCCCCCGCAGAGCCGGCCGCGCUCCUGCACUUGGCCGCUGCCCCGGCCCGAGCUGGUGGCCGUGGUGGGAGCGGAGCCCGGGGAGGCGGCGGCCAGCCCCGAGGAGCCGGGCGGCGGGGUCGGCGGGGAGGCCUGCGGGGGCGCCUCGGGGUCGGCGCCGGGCUCUGCUCCGGGGGGCGCCGGGGGGCCGCGCAAGGGCGGCGCGGGGUCUGGCGGGGCGCGGCGGAACGCCUGGGGCAGCCAGUCCUACGCCGACCUGAUCAGCCAGGCCAUCCAGAGCGCCCCGGACAAGCGGCUGACCCUGGCGCAGAUCUACGAGUGGAUGGUCCGCUCCGUCCCCUACUUCCGCGACAAGGGCGACAGCAACAGCUCCGCCGGCUGGAAGAACUCCAUCCGGCACAACCUCUCCCUGCAUAACAAGUUCAUCAAAGUGCACAAUGAGGCCACCGGGAAGAGCUCUUGGUGGAUGCUUAAUCCAGAAGGUGGCAAAAGUGGGAAAGCCCCACGGAGAAGAGCGGCCUCCAUGGACAACAGCAGCAAGUUGGCCAAACUGCGUGGGAAAACACACAGGAAGAAGCCGGCCAUGGCAGCUGCUCCGGAACCGACGGCCGACAGCCCGGUUUCCCAGUUUCCCAAGUGGCCGGGCAGCCCUUCUUCCCGGAGCAACGAGGACUCAGAGGUGUGGACCAGCAUCCGGCCUCGGACCAGUUCGAAUGCCAGCAGCGUGGGCCUCUCCUCGGUCCUGGCCGAGCAGGACGACCUGGCCGACGAGGAGCUGCUCCCCACCCUUGUUUACUCCAGCGCCUCCAGCAACGUGCCUCCCACAGUGACGGAGGAGCUGGAGCUCAUUGACGGCCUGAACCUGAUGUCGGCCAGCUCCUCAUCCUUGCUGGCCACUCAGCAGCCGGCCCAGAGGAACCCCAGCUUCCCCUUGCGGGCCCCCAGCUCUGCCGCUCAGGCCUCGGGCUCCUUUGGCAGCUCCCUCUUCAGCCCUAUGGACCACCUGCUGCCUGGCUCGGCUGGCCAUUUCUCCCAGUCACUGGAGGAGCUGCUCACGUCCAACUCGCCUCCUGCCAGCGAUGUGAUGAUGACCCAGGUAGACCCGAUUCUCCCGCAGAGCGGAAGCCGGGUGAGCAGCCAGAGUUACCUCCUGCUGGGGGACCAGCCAUCCAAGCCCAAGAUGAGCCUGGGGAGCCUGCUCAGAAAGCCUUUGGAGCAGCAGCUGGAGUCCAUUGGGGCCACCGCUUUGCCCUCCACCUUCACCAUGACGGCAUCUUCUCAGAGCCCCAUCGGCCUGUCCGCUUUGAAGACUCCGGGCUCAGCACCGUCUGCCCAGCUGGGCCAGCUGGGCCCCCAGCCCUCUCUGUCUGCCACUUUCCCGGCCUUUGACGGGAAUCAGGAUAAGCUGCCCAAUGAUUUGGAUGUUGAUAUGUACAUGGAGGACCUUCAGUGCGAUGUGGACUACAUCAUCAGCACCGACCUCAUGGACGGAGAAGGACUGGAUUUCAACUUUGAGCCCAUUCCGUCUACUCCGAGCUACCCGAGCACAUCGCAGGCUUCCAAUCACAGUUGGGUCCCCAGCUAACUUCGUAUGGACAAAGAAACAAAGGAUUGGUCGGUGGCAACCAGGUGGCCAUUUAGAAUGCCCUUCUGCUUCAGGAGCUUUACACACUCAGAAGAGUCUGGAAUGCCAGGAGUUCUGGUGCCCGCCUUGGCCUUGCACGCGGGCUGGGCGCGAGAGGCCAGCUGCCACGGGAAGAGAGAGAUCCUGUCCAGUGCCAUGUCUUUUCAUGAAUCCAGCCUACGCCAUUCUCCCAGCAGGAGCCUCGGAGAGCGCUUCGCCUCGGCCAGACCCUUCCUGCCCCAAAGAAGCCUUUCCAGGUGAUGCCUGCCUCACCUGUCAUUUGACUCGGUACACUACGCCUCCAUGGAUGGGAAGAGGAGCAGCCAGCCUCGGGGCUGCUUGAGUGGAGAAGACCUGUCCUUUGUGCACUUGUCCUGCCUUGAGAGCAGCAGGCGGGGAGAGGCGGGAGGGGGCAAGCUGUCCUCUGGAGCGAGGAGCUCACCGGGCUCGAUCUUGACAGUCCUGGCCAAGAGGCCCUCCUGGAAACGCAGGCCUGGCCUCUCGAGGGCCCCACCUGGACCUGGUCACGGAAAGCACUUUCCUGCAAGCGUGGCUGCCCUCAAGCAGGUGCUAAAAGCCGUUGCUGAGAAACCAAAAACGCCUUCUCUGGGUUUGUCUCUAUGCUGCAGUAGAGAAAUCGGAAACCUGGACCUGGCCUUAACCAGAGCCCUAAUCAGUGUCGGAUUUUUUUCCUUCUUUUUCUAACCUGGAAGGGCAUUUUAUACAGAUGAACUAUUUUGGUGGCGUUUUUCUAUCUUUUCCCUCUUUCGUUUGGACGGGGCUUUUUGUGGUAGCCUCGGGCCCGUUUUACACGUCUCUGUGUCGAGUGCCUUUUCUCCCCUCACUUGGCAUGUCAGCAGCUGUGCUAUUCCAAGUUGUCUCCAGAACAGGAGGGCGGCUUUGGGGGUGCUUUAUAGCUGGGCGGGGAGGAGGGAAAGGGGCACCAAGCUAGCCUUCUUCUUUGGAAUUGGGGUAGGUGAGGGGCUGUAGAUAAAUACCUGUAAAGUUAGCAGCAGAUUAACUAGAAGCUUUUGUUAAACAAAAAAAUGGGGAGGGGGGGGAGAGAAAAUCCUGUCUAUAUUUUAACAGAAAAUCCUAUGAAAUGAUUGGCUAAAAGUAAAGGACAUUUUCUUACAGCUUUAUAAGUUUUGAUACCAGAAAGAACACUAAAAGUACACAAUGCCAGGAAUUGAGCUGAAGAACGGAUGAUGGGAAAAAUGGGGGGGGGGGCAGGGGGUGGGGUUUAGAUAAGACUUCGAGUCCCCUUCUCCGAGGAAGGGGGCAGUCCGAGCUCCCUGGAAACACAAGGCUGAGCAUCUUGUAUUCCUGGGAGGAGUUUUGGGUGCUCUAAGCCUUGAAGGUAGCAAGGUCGCAGCUGCCCCUCUGGACAUGUGGAGCCCUCGACCUCUUGGUGCAGAAGCCUCUGCGGGAGAGGCCACUGCCUGCUGACUGACAGCUCGGGGGUGGUGGGUAUGCUUGUUGUAUAGCCUGGCUGGCAAUACUCAGAGUGUGGCAGGGAUGGCAGUUGCUUUGUCCUUCGCAUCCAGCAUGUUCUCAGGUGAUCUGGCCUGCCCUGAAAAGACCGGGGGAGGGAGGGAGGACUGCAGAAACAAAGAGCAUCAGAGACCAUUUUUCCAGUAUUACUUCUCCUCGACGAGGGGAGAGAGGGUGGGCCCUUGGGCAUGCUUGGGUAUUUCCCAGCAGGGCUGAACGGGAGAAGGUGGGGCUUCAGUGUAACCUGAAAAAUCCUUCGGCAAGGCAGUUUCCAGGCGUCCUUCCAUUCUCUUCCUGCAGCUGCUGAAUGCGAGGAAAGGCCAAAGGUGUGCAGGAGAUUUUGCUUGUGUCCCACCAUAGAGGGGCAGAGCCAUCUAUCCAGGCCGGCCCUCGGAGUUCUUUCGUGAGGCCCCUCGCCUGCCCUGCUUUGGAAUGGGGACUUUCAGAGAAGCUGGCCCAGUUGAGAAGAAAGGGGUGCCAACCGGGAGAGAGGGUGCCCUGGCCUCCCACUGCCAAGAAGCUGUUCUGCCAGUUUGCUUUCUCCAAGCAAAGACUGGCUAAUGAUGGGAAUGCACUGCUCCCUCCCCUCGUUUGCAUGGAGCAUUGUAGAGAGAAGGGAUCCUGAUUGGGAUCAGAGAGAACCUUGCAUUGAGCUGCAAGAAGAGAUGCAGAGCUAUGGAGAUCCUCAGUCAUCCAGGUGAUGGUUGUCCCAAAGGUGCUUUUUUCCCCCAAAAGGCAACUGGACUUCCUUGGUUUUCUCCUUGAAAACAUGUCAUCUAGGAAGCUUCUUCAGUUGCCUUUUGGGGGAAAAAAGCACCUUUGGGACCAGAGAUAGAGACGUAAAUUGCAAUCCGAAUAUCAGUCUGUAAAGAUUGCCAGGCAUCUAAUCCCCCCCCCUCUUAACAGCUGUGCUAAUGGGGGUCCCUGGGUCAUCCUGCCCCAGGAAGGUAUCGGAACCUUCGGGUGGGUUUUAGUCAUCUCUGCCUUGUGUAAAGGAGGAACCUUCCCCUGCCCCACCCCCUGCUUUUGGGAUACCCUGCUUUGCAAGGAGAGCAUGUUUCUCUUUGGAGGAAAGAUGAAGGCAGCAAUGGGUCUUCUGUGGCAUGAGUAAUGGGAUCUGCUGGGAUCCAGGACAAGAGAGACGGGGAUCUUGGGGGCUUGAUGAGCUAUUUCCAUCAGGAUAUUGGUAGGAGUCCAAGGCCGCCUUCAUGCAGUUAUACAUCAAUUCUGCUUGCGUGUUUGGCUUUGCGAUAGGCUUCUUGGGCAUUGUAGUCCCAAAGCCUUGGAGCCUGGAGGUCCUCACCCGGGCCUGGCCUGAGGAGGAGCCUUCCGGCCGGCCUCUUUCCAGAGCAGAGUGAGGAGGGGGUGUGUGCCUGCUGUGGGGUUGGAGCUCUCCUGCCUGUCCCUUGGGGACCUGGAGAGGAGCUGCUGGACCCGCCCCAAGGUUUGACUCACCCCCUCUCCCAAAUAAAGGCUGUGUCCCCUCCUGCAACAGGAUCACUAUCCAGACAUUCUCUCUCUCCCUUGCCCCAGCCCUCCUCUCUCCCCCCCCCCCAGUUUUUGUGGAUUUGCUGGAGGGCAAAAUGUGACAAAUAAACCUUUAUAAUCCUCUGUC